AUCCGGCUGACGAGUCCCAAAUAGGAUGAAACGCGCGACAGAUUGUAU
rnacentral:hammerhead_ribozyme from 1 species